UCACCACGUCUGCAAACUGGUGCUCCUUUAUGCAGCCUGCGGAGGGCCCAGUCAGGCCUCAAGGCCUCGCGAGGGGGGUGUCCACGCUGCCCAGCCCCGGCCCCUCACCUUGCAGGGACAGCAGCCAGAAGACGGCACAGCCGGCCUCAGCCAUCUCUGCGUCCGUGGGGUAGGCGGCCAGCACCUCAGCGAUGAGGGCCGGGGCCUUCUCCAAGGGGCUCUUGUUCACAACGUCUGGGGCCGGGACAGGAUGGAGGAGGGACACCUCGCCCUUGAGUGGCUGCAGGAGAGCCUGCUGUAUGCGUGACCCCGUGCCCCCUGCUCCCACCAAGGACACCAGAGCCGACGCUGCUGGGCGAGAGUCCAGGCUCUCCGAAGAGCUUCUCUGUGGGCUCCGGCCCUGAAGUGCUUAAAGGACAGGCCGCGAGGCCCUCGAAGCUCGCACAGGGGACCAGGGGGCCGCGAGGAUACCAGUCCCCGGGCGGGCGAGCAGGAGGAGGGGCCCCUCACCGUCCACCAGCAGGGCCCAGAGCAGGCUCAGGCCGCGGAUGCAGACGUCCCUGUUGGUGAGGAAGGUUCUCAGGCGCUCCAGGAUGUGCUCCAACAGCCCAGCCUUCCGCAGCUCCUCCGAGGCCGACCCUGUGGGCAAGCCCCGGAGAGCCCCCUCCGUCUGUUGUCCUCACCCCCACGCUGCUGGGUCCCUACUCGGCACCAGUCAUACCCAGCAUGGGGUCCAUCCCCUGGGCCCCAGCGUCGCCUACCCCAGUAUUGGGCUGGGACCGGCCUCGCGGGACGGACCACACAGAGCACGCCUGAGCCUCCGGGGACGAGAGCGUGGCUGCGUCUCUCCCGGCAGGUGAGCCGACGCCCAGUCUGCCUGAUGGCUCUAACUUAGGCCUGCUGUCCUAACCCGCCUCCUCCCAGCACCCCAGAGUGCGGGGUGCCAGCCCCUGGCUCCAGGGGAGUGUCCCAGGGCUCACGGGCCGGCUUCCCGCCGGAGCGAGGGCUGCCCACCCGGUGAGGAAGGUGGGAGCGGUAAGGUGCGAAGGGCCCUCGGUCGCGCUCCUCCCUGUGGCACCCCCAGUGCAGUCGCCUGCGGCCUGCGUGGCUGGAGGCUCCCGGAUCCCAGAAGCUGCCGCCACCGUGAGCCCAUGGUGGCACCUGGCAGCCGGUCGGUGUCGUGCGCAUUUGUGGAGGGAGCAAGUGACCGCCAGAUGGAAGCUUCCCAUCGGUAGAUGCAACAGGACGAGCGUGUGGAAGACCCUGCUGCAGGCAGCGCGAUGGUGCCACCCUGUACCCGUGCAGCGCCCCGGCCUCCACCUGACAGAGGGCGGGCCAGGCACACCCACCCUGGCUGGAGAUGAUGGUGAGCACGCAGUAGGCCGUGACCAGGAGCUGCUCCGACUCGGGGUGAGUCUGCAGGCCGCUCAGCAGGACCGAGGUGACGGAGCUGUCACGCGGCACCUCGGCCGUUGGGUCCUGUGCCAGUGCUACUUGGCCCGAGGGAAGAGGCUGGAGUCACCUCCUGAGCCUGGCUCACGGGGCAGGGGGUGGGCUGCUGUGCUCCCUCCCUGGCUGUGGCGGGGGCGGGGAGCAGUGCCCCUGCUUCGCGUGGAGAGAGUGGAGGUCAGCCUCGCCCUCCUGGCAUGGAGUGGGUCCCCACACGCGCCCGCCCGCGCAGCUGGCCAGUGAGCGGCGCUGUGCAGCCAGCGCGGGGCUCCAAGGCUCUGUGGCUCUGGGACGAGGCGCCAGAGUCCACGGGACCAGGUGCGGCCCGGCACCCACCUCGGCCCAGGCUGCGCAGCAGCAGGGAGCAGGCGUGCAGCUGGAUGUCCAGGACCCUCUCGUGUUGCUUCAUGAUGGCGGCCAGCACCUCCACCAGUGCUGGGGGCCACAGCAGGCCUGGCGGGGCAGGGAGGCGGUGAGCCUGGGCACAGGUGCGGGGGCGGGGCACCCCAACUCCGCUGGGGCUCUACAGGGUGCCUGCUGGAUGUGGAGGCAGGAAAUGACGGUGCGCGUUGGGCGCUCACCGUGUGCCUGCCAUGGGCGUCUCGUCCCAGCAGCCCCCAAGGGAGAGAGCCUUCCUGUGACUCUCGUCUUACAGAUGAGGACACCGGGCAGAGGGAUGACAGCACUUGCCUGGAACCCAGCCUGACUCUGGAGCCCGUGGCCAUAACUACCCUGAGUGUGGGCGUCUGUGGGUGUCGUUGAGUCUCCUCUGUGCUGUGUGCUGGGUCGGGGUGAGAGGCAGGGGCGUGCAGCUGAGGGUCCCAGCGGCCGCUGUGCCCCUCCUCCGCGGCUUUGUUUGCCGUGUUCUGAGAACAACCCCAGCAAGGGCGCUGACGCCUCACUUAGAGGCCGGGGCGGGCGUGGCUCCAGGGAAGCCUCGCUCAGCUCUUCCUGGACGACAGGGUCUCCCGCUGUGAACUCUAUUCUGGCCACAGCCUGGCUCCAGGAGGAGUCGAGGGGAGGGGCGAGAAAGAGGGAAGGUCAAGUGGCCAGGACUACGUCUCUGCCGCUGCCUUAGAGGGGCUGGGACUGGGCCUCUGCACUCUCUGAUGCCCCAACCACGGAGCAGACCUUUUGUGCAAGGACGGAGGACAGACAGGAAUUCGUCCUACGGAAACGCUCACACAAGUGGACCCGGGCACGCGCUCCGGGGCGCUCAGGGUAGGUUUGCUUAAGACGCUGGACAAUUAGCAACGGGUCGGGGGCCCACCAACAGCGAUGGCGGAGGCCGUGGGCGUCCCAUUAAGCCUCUACGAAGAUCGUGGGAAGGCAGAGGCCGCUACACACGGCAGGCCGACCAUCCCGUUCCCGCUUUCUCCUGGGGCAAAAGGCACAGCCGGCAGGAAUUCCAGGCUGCCCGUUCCAAGCAGGUGGGGACACAGGCCUCAGAGGUGCAGGAGAGCCUGCGGGAGGGACCAUGGCUCCGCCAAAGGCCCGUGCCACAGGGUGAGCCCCCGAGGACCUGGGGAAGGCGGGUGGGGGCUCUACCUAGCUGGUCUUCGGGCAUUUUCAGGAGCCUCUUCAUGGCUUUGAGCUGGACUUCGGGGCUGCUGGAGAAUUGCUGCAUGACCUCUAUGGGAGAACGGACGGUGUGGGGAGGAGCCCGGCUGGCUCCGGGGCCCUCGGAGGGCCGGGCGCCUGGGGUCCAUCUGUGGGCACCACGCUGCCCGUGGAUGCAUAAGACAGGGCAUGAGGGGAUGCCCUUAUCCCCACUCUGCAGGCCAAGCAGCCUUAGAGUCUCCCGUCUCAACAAGGCCAGAGUUGUGCCCCGAGCCCGGGGCUCUUCCCACUGAGCCUCUGAGCCUCCCUGCAGGGCUCUUUGCCUUUGAUUCAUGACAAAGGCCCCCAGCCCCCAAAAUGAGCGGCAGUCUGCAGCGUGGACACUGCAGAGCCCCUGCCUCCCUCCCCCGUGGCCGGGCCCUGUGCGCCCGCAGCGGCUCCCCUUGCUCUAGGUGAGGACACAGGCUCCGGGGGGAGACUCGCUCAGCCACUCAACUGCUGAGUGACAGGCUUCGACUGGACCCAGGGCCCUGCCUCGAAGGCCCAUGACUGAGACUGGGAAAUCAGAAGCUAGGGCCUGUGAGCAGCCCUUUUCCAGAAGUGGGGGCAGAAGUGGCAGACGGGGGAGGGGAUCCCCGGGCACAGCAGCCAACGCAGGGAGCCACAGACCGGGAGGAGGGCUGGGAAGGUGGAGCUUGAGGGGACCCUGAAGGUGACCCCGCGACCCAUCGUUCACCCAAGACCUCUGGCGUACAGUGCGGGAGCCGCUGGGUGCCCUCCGCCAGGGGCACUUGGGGGAGAUACGGUGCGGCGUGUGCACGGGCGCCGUGCCGGGUGACUGGUGGCACCCUCGACAGAGGCCUGUGUGUGUCACACUGCAGACGGAGCCCCCACGGGGACAUGCCUGCCAGUCCGGGCCACCCCCACCCCCACCACGGUGUCCGGCACCACAAGCUAGCAGUUCCUGGGGCUGUAAGAGUGAGGGCGCUGUUCAGCCAAGUUGAGGACCGUGGAGCAGGAAGGAGGGCAGGCACUAGGACGGGCUCUGUUAGAAGUGGGGGUGGGGAAGGGGACUGGAGUGGGGCAGCACCCUGAACAAAGGGGUGCCGGGGGCUAGAUGGAGGGGAGUGCCCUGACACCCUGCCAGCCACGGGCCACCCGUCAGGUCUAGAUGUGGGGGCUGGGGUAGGGCAACAGGGUGCCAAGGCUGCCCGCUCCGGUCCGGCCAUCACCUAUGAUGUUGGCCAUACUGCCCUCCAGCAGCAGGUCGGUGAUGAAGUCAGGCACCGCGGGCUGGUGCAGCGACAGAGCGAUGCUGGCAGCCCGGACGCUGCUGUCCGCCAAGGUGAUCUGGAUCACGUCCCUGGGGAGGAGCAGAGACCGCCGGCUGGGCUCGCCCCAGGGGCUCUCUGCUGGGCUCUGGGCGGCCCCACCCUCCUGUUGGGGACCCCCUUCGGCAGCACCGCUCCCAACGCCAGAAGCGUGCCCAACUGGGAGGGUCCCCGGGCUUGGUCCUGGCAGAGGGAGGAGGGCACUGGGCCCGGCACUUUCACCUGCAGGGGCUCCUUCCUCCCGAAAACACAUUGAAAAAUCAGAUUUUACUAGUGUGUUGGUACAAAGGCGAGCAGAACCCAGGCUGGGCUCUUCGCUGCAUAUUCCUUUCUUACUUCUUAUUUUAACGUAAAUCACAACAAGCCGUUUUCCUGGUCCUCAGGAGUUGGCUCUGUCGGCUGCAGGGUUGCCCCUUACUGCUCGUGGGACCGCAUGGGAAAGCCCAGGGGGCCACGGGUGUGUCCGCGCGGUUGUGGUGUUGACACGCCAAGAGCCGGGGAUCCACGGAGGGUUACACACAGCCCCAGCCCGAGCUCACCUGACUGUUAUCCGCUCCAGGGGGUUGAUCUGCAGCAUCAGAGGCAGAAGGGAACCCAAGAUGUGCGCGUGGGGGACCCUCUUCUCCCCCAUGGUCUUCAGGACGCCCCUGAGGCCAUUCGGGAGGGUCCGGAGGGACUUUCUCAGAAGCAUGGCUUCUGUUCUCUGAGGGGACACAGACAGACUCUGCUGUUUCCGGGGUUUUCCUCAAUGGUGCCCCAGCUGGGCCUAGUCCCCGGAGAGGACUGGGGGUCCCAGGCCAGCCCGCCAGAGGCCUAGAGGAAGUGAGCCUGGGGACCCCAGGUGACAGGCAGCCCCUGUGCGUCCAGGCCGCCUCGGUCAGUUUCCUGGGGGGUGGUUAGUGCACCUGAACUCGGCCGUCUCACCCACAGGGGGCAGUGAGUGCAUGGGGAGUCCGCUGUGAGGGCUAGCGGGGCGGCCACCAUCCCCACCACGCCAGGGCCCUGCAGGCCCCAUAUGGAGUGGGGCACCUCCCAGCGGCUGGGACGGGGUUCCUCCCGGCCCCUUGGAGGCACGGAGCAAGGCAGGAGGAUGCAGGAGCAGCUGGCCAUGUCUAGGAUGAUGCAGCCCAGGGACCAGACGUCCGACUUCCGGCUGAAGGAGAACUGGAGGGCUUCGGGGGCCAUCCAGGACUUCUGACAAGAGUCUGUUGGCAGGAGAAGGUGUCAGACGUGUGAGGCCUGUGCUCCCUGGGAACAUGGGGGGGAGGCAGGCAGGUGCUCUCUAUGGAGGGAAAGGAAGAGGGCCCUGGUCAGCAAGAUCCUGGCCCUGGGGUCUCCAGCCAGCGAGGCCGCCUCCCCGCCGGCCAGGUGCUCCCCCAGGCUGGCCCGUGUGUGCGCACACGCAUGUUGUGUCCAACAUGGCUGCAGAAGUGGCCGGAACAGGGCUGAGACUUCCACCCUCUUUAAACAUCCUGCCCCUCUGAAGGUCAGAACCCAGAGGCAAAUUCCAGUUUCCCCACCCUCAUUUCUAACCCUGAACCCCAGACCAGGAGCCAAAAGAGCAGGGUCACCAGUCGGUGAGUCCCUGAUAGGCCCCAGGCAGCCCCUCCCUCUGGGCCUUCAUUCCCCAGCCAAACGGUAAAGGGGUGACUCGAAGGGCCCUUCCACACCUCCAGUAGGUGGCACCUGUCCACCCACACAUCCACCCACCCGCCCAUCUAUCCACCUGUCCGUCCAUGCAUCCAUCCGUCUGUCCUCUGUGCGCCCAGGACACUGAAAUUCUCAACCACUGUUACUCUCUCCAUCCCCAAAAGCCGGCAUAGGCCUGAAGCCCGGCCCCCUUUGCCCCACUGCCCCUCCAACCCCCUCACUCCCCACGUCUGCCAUCGCCUCAGUUACUUUUAGGACUCAGCAGUAAUCCAGCCUCCCCGGUGCCUGGCAUCCCCUAGCUCUCCAUCUCCUUCUGAGGCCAUUCUUCUCCUUCCACGAAGGCUAACAUUUUCUGGGUGUCCUUUGGACCCUGCGCGCACCCCUCCCCUGCCAUGGGGGUGCCCCUGCUCUGUUACAACGCUCUCUGGAGUCCACAAAAGCCCAUGGGGGGGGGGUCUGUGGGGACCUUCUGAGCAAGGAGAGGUCUGCUUUGUCCCACGGGGUUCCUCUGGCCUCUGGGCUCUAGGAACACCCCACUAGGCAGAGGGGCCCUCCCCUGGCGCUCCCCAGCCAUGGCUGUCCCGCCCCGGGCCACCUUCCUCCACCCGGAUGUUCCACUUGGCUCUGUCUGUCAUCAGCGCUUCGCAGCUCAGGUCCUGCAGUUUGCAGUGGUUGCUGCUGACGAGGGCUAUGUUGGAGGGCUUGAGAUUCCUGAAACAAGAGGCGGGGCUCACCACCCACCACCCCUACCUCCCGGGGCAGGGCCAGCCGCCUCGAACCUCCCUCCCUGCCCCUACCCAGUCCUGCUGCGCUCUCUGGAAACCCCCCCUCUGCAGCGCGCUUUUCCCUACAGAAAUAAAAUCUGCUUCUCGGUUCUUUUAAAUGGGGACACAACCGGGCGGCUGUCCCGUUUCUGCCCACCACCUUGCUCACCUCCCUCCAGACCCUCGCUAUCCAGGCAUUUGCUUAGGGGUUGGCUUCCGGCCAUCUGUGAGGUCCAGCGGCAUCCACACUAAAUCGCGAGCAUUUUCUUCGCCCACGAGGUCCACACGGUCCUCCCCUCCUUUAAACCCGGCACUGACCGGUCUGGAGCCGUUCCCACCCGCUUCAGACUGUGGCCGCCACAGGGUGGCGAGGCCGUGUUGCUGGCGAUCUCGAGCUCAGCCCAGGACGCCAGCAGCUCCAUCGGGCGGCCAGAGGCCACCGCGCAGCCCGGUCACUUUCCUCCGGGUGCUGUUAUCUGGCCGCUCUCCGCGCACUUUAGAACCGACCUGCCCGUCACUGGGGGACUCAGCGCCUCUGCGCCCGAAGCAGCCCUGCCGGCUGGCCGGUCACCUGUGGAUGAUGUCCAAGUGGUGCAGGUGCUCCAGAGCGUCCAGCACCUGGCCCAGCAUGCUCUGCAUCCACUGGGGAGACAGAGAGACGCCAGCAUCGGACAGGGAGCAGGGGCUUGCCUCUCCACGCCAUUGGAAUGAAAAGUGCUCUGACAAAGAACGUUCUGGAAACACUUGAUGUCAGAAACAAGAUCCAGCCAGUUUCCAGGGCAGUGAUCUUCAAACCAUGUUCCUAGGAACCCCGGAUUCUACCCAGGGGUGUCAGAGAGGGGCUGAGCGUACAAGACCCCAGGCUUCCACUCCACCCUCCACCAACCCCGCCAUGCUCCCUGACUAGAGGAGUUUUGGGGCGCCUGGGGCCUCAGUCAGUUGAGCGUCUGGCUUCCAGUCAGGUCAUGAUCCCGCAG